CCCAUUAGAGUGAUUUCCUGCGUUCUCUCCCACAUGGUCAGCGAAUGGAUUAUCCAGUCACAGUACAUAAUGAAAGACUUGCCGAAGUUAGAAGAAGCUGAGUGAAUCUUCAGAGUGAUUCUUCAGAGAGAAGAUGUUAUGAUGUCUCACAAGAACCAAUGAAAUUUGGGAGACCUCAGAGUAUGUCCUUGCUGUGACUGUGCAAAAACAGCUAUGUUAUGCCCGUGAACGGAUUGGUGUAUAAAAGGGCCUGCAGUGUUCAACAGUGUCUCU